rnacentral:rRNA from 1 species
CGGCGCGCCUAAUACAUGCAAGUCGAACGCAUUGUGUUGAAAUGAUAUGAAGAACUUGUUCAGAUUUGAUUUUCUACAUUGCAAUGAGUGCGAACGGGUGAGUAACACGUGGGAAACCUACCUCUUAGCAGGGAUAACAUUUGGAAACAAUGCUAAUACCGUAUAAUAAUUAAAACCGCAUGGUUUUAGUUUAAAAGAUGGUCUUGCUAUCACUAAGAGAUGGUCCCGCGGUGUAUUAGUUAGUUGGUGAGGUAAUGGCUCACCAAGACAAUGAUACAUAGCCGAGUUGAGAGACUGACCGGCCACAAUGGGACUGAGACACGGCCCAUACUCCUACGGGAGGCAGCAGUAGGGAAUCUUCCACAAUGGACGAAAGUCUGAUGGAGCAACGCCGCGUGUGUGAUGAAGGGUUUCGGCUCGUAAAACACUGUUGUAAGAGAAGAAUGACAUUGAGAGUAACUGUUCAAUGUGUGACGGUAUCUUACCAGAAAGGAACGGCUAAAUACGUG